UACGGAGGGUGCAAGCGUUAAUCGGAAUUACUGGGCGUAAAGCGCACGCAGGUGGCUGAGUCAGUCGAUUGUGAAAGCCCUGGGCUUAACCUGGGAAUUGCAGUCGAUACUACUCAGCUAGAGUAUGGGAGAGGGUAGUGGAAUUCCCGGUGUAGCGGUGAAAUGCGUAGAUAUCUGGAGGAACACCGGUGGCGAAGGCGGCAUCCUGGACCGGUAUUGACGCUGAGGCGCGAAAGCCAGGGGAGCAAAGCGGG
rnacentral:rRNA from 1 species